UUUUUUUUUUUUCAUUGAAAUGAUUUAAUGUGUAAAUACAUAAAAUUUUGGUUUUUGCUGCCAUGUUGAAUAAAAAUCUAAUUUAUUUUUUGAUUUUUUUUGUUCACCCCCUCCCCCCCAACUCUUUCCAGUGUGGAAUGUUUCAGUUUCUUGAUCAUUUGUCUAGCCAAUAGGGUAGAUUUCAAAAGUUGUAUUGCUCACAAAUACAAAUGUAGCAAUUUUAAGAAACAACCUGAUAGAAAGUUUGUGUUUUAUUCCAUUUGAACUUGGUCACUGCUGUUUUCUUUUUCUUGCAAAACUUUGCCUUAUCUGGGUGCAAAUCUGCCUUGAUAAAUAUGUUUAUCUGGGGGCCAAUCUGCUAUGAUAAAUAACUUUAUCAAUGCAUUAAAAUGAACUGUAUAGAGAGACUGCUGCAUAAAAAAACUUGCUUGAAUAUUAUUAAAUUCUAUCUUUGUUAUCUGGGCAUCAAAUAGCAACAUGAAUUUUGCAAGAAGUUGAAACUUGUUUGAUCUAGGUUUUUAAAAAUGGGAACUAAAAAAAAACCCAUCAGUAACAAUUCUCAUAAUAAAUAUUCAACAUUUUUUAAGCCUUUGUUGUUUU